GGCUUCGUGGUCGAGUGGUAAAGACACUUGCCUCUUACCCUGGUUCGAUCCCUGGUCGAAGAGCUA